CACGUAGGGCGCGAGCGUUGUCCGGAAUUAUUGGGCGUAAAGAGCUCGUAGGCGGCCUGUUGCGUCCGCUGUGAAAGCCCGGGGCUUAACCCCGGGUCGGCAGUGGAUACGGGCAGGCUAGAGGUAGGUAGGGGAGAAUGGAAUUCCCGGUGUAGCGGUGAAAUGCGCAGAUAUCGGGAGGAACACCGGUGGCGAAGGCGGAUCUCUGGGCCUUACCUGACGCUGAGGCGCGAAAGCUAGGGGAGCAAACAGG
rnacentral:rRNA from 1 species